UUUGGUAGGACCCAAGCAUUGUUUUAGAGGCAAUUUGAUGAGAAAUCGAGUGGGUAAUGUCCUUGACCUUUCCAGAAGAGCUUCCUAAGUCUCACCUGAACACAUGGGAUAUGAAGGUAUAAGAGGUGUGUGAAAGACACGGAGAAGGUGGAACAACGGGAGUACAUGGGAAUUCCAUGGUAGCAUGCCAGCUGUUCCCAUAGUGGAUUGACGGUCAUGUAUAGAGUCAGAAAGAAGCCACAACAGACUGUUUCAGCUGGAGAAGGUCCCACAGAAGAGAAGAUUGGAACUGUAAGAGUGAAGACGGUGACUAGAAGAUGGAGAGCCUUGAACAUCAGAAUCAAGAUUUGCAUCUUGUCUUCUACUCUCUGGAAAGUCUUCCAAAACAGGAGGAUUUCUGAAUACUGAUAGCUUGACUGAUGAGUCCUUUCCACAACGAGACAGUUGGGCUGGACAAGCAGCCUUAUAUUAUAUCUUUUAAACUCAUUUUGAUUCAGAGCUGAGUGUGAGCUGAGGUAGAGCAGUUGCUCUAUAUAAAAUCAGAUAUAUUAAAGAUGAGGAAUAAAGCUAAGAUAGAGAGAAGGGAUCAACCUCAAAUGUUAAGACAAGCUGCAGUUCUUGGAGCAUUCAGAGGUAGAAGUCCAGAGAUGUAGUAGACAAUCUAUCACACAUUUAUUUGCAUUUUAUUUAUUUAUGUUAAAGGUAUUUGGGGAGGGAGGGAGGCUGGAGAGAUGGCUCAGCAGUUAAGAGCACUGGCUGCUCUUUCAGAGGACCCAGGUUCAAUUCCCAGCACCCACAUGGCAGCUUACAACUGUUUGUUAACUCCAGUUCCAAGGGAUCUAACACCCUCACACAAGCAGAACAAUAAUGCACAGAAAAAAAAACCCAAAUCAUUUGAAAAGAAAAUAUUUCGGGGGAGGAGGAUGUUACAACUAUAUUUUAUUUUAACCCUAACCCAUAGCGCAUGUUAAUAGGCUAUUGUAUGACGUUUCAG